CAGCCUGGUGACAGACAGACGAACAGACAGUCUCAGAUAACGCGGUUAAGUAUACUAUUCAGUUAUAUUAGUGUGACAGAGACAUUGGGCGUUUCGUUCGCUACGGAGUGUAAACGAUUUGCAACUUGGCUAAGCACCCAGCUUCCUCGCACACCUCUGGUGGAAACGCAGCCUAAACCUGAGAUGUUAAGACAUCGCAUUGGUUACAUUGAUUUAGAAAAUACAAUUCUCGACAUUUUUUUUCGGACUAUUCACAGUUAGACUUAGUUUCAUUUUUGUACUUCGUUAUUGAUACUUUUAGUCUUUUAAAUUUUUUGGCAAUAAUAGGUAUUUAGACAUUUUAGACGUUAUUAUUUUUAGUCAUUUUUCCUUACGACAAUAGUCGCCUAAUUCGUUUUCCGUUCCACAUAUUAAUAUCAGGACACUGUUAUGUCCGUUACCAAUAUAUUUUUUAAGAGGAAAGGUGACGAAAAAAUAUUAAGCCUUGAAUAUUAUCGGCAAUACAAGGCAAAUUUUUUUUUUAAUUUUAAAAUAUUGUUAACAAUCUUCUGAUAUUUUGUGAAACGGAAAAGUAACAGAAAAAAAUAAAAAUAUAAAUAAACAAAAAGUUCGCCCUAGGUGGGAUUCGAACCCGGGGUCACAAUGCGUGCACACUUUAUGCAACCAUGUUCUAAACCUUAUUACAAAAAGCAUAAGGUCCACCGAUGGAUAGUUAAGAGUAUUGCUGUUUGUACCUAAGCCAAUACUGCUACCGGCUGUGGUGCCGGUAGACAGGUAGAAUAACGUUUUUCGAUUUUGUGAUGUUGGCUGUAGUAGACCCUCAGAUAUCAUUCGCGCGCCAAAAGUCUAGCUGUAAAUUACAUUACGACUGUUACGAGUAAUAAAAGCCCGAUAUAAGUCGGUCAUAAAAUAAAAAAAUAAAUUGUUUAUUUCCGAAAAAUAUUUCUUGGAUACAGUAUAACAAAGCAUACUAAAGCUACUUAUUGUGUACCUACUUAACUGACGGAAGGGGCGCAGCUAUACGUUAUAGUUAUCGACAGUGAUAUCAGCAUUUCACUUCUACUCUACGUAUUGUUUACUACGAAACUAGACGAGUUUAUUUUCGAAUAGAGAUUGAAAUAAAUCUAAUUAUUUUACUACAAAUAGGUGUACCUAAGUAUAGUAUGUCAAAGGACUUAAUAUAUAUUAACAUGAAAGGUAUUGAAAUCUGUAAUUUUAUAGUUUGGUAAACAAGUAAUUGUCAGUAAAAAACUGUUACGAAAAAGAGAGUACUGAGCUAUAACCGCGAAAAUAAAAAGUUCGCAGAUGGCGGGGAUCUUUCUCUUUUACUCCAAUGAAGGCAUAUAAUUUUUCAUUGCAGUAAAAGCGAAAGAUCCCCGCAAUUUGCGAAUUUCGGUUUUUGCGAUAGCCUCUCUGUUCUUUCUGCUUAAAAUGCUCCACUGAAAAACGACUCUUCCCAAACUAUAGAUUAAGUACAGGUAAGUAGUUUACCUAGUUUAUUUAAAAUUAGCAAAUACCUAAGUUAACAAUGUAACGUUAUGUCUGGUAUGGUCUGGCAAACCAAAUUUGUUAGAAGAAAAGGCAGCAAAUUGAAAAAAAAUUGGCGGGAAAAUUCUAUCUCCCAUAUGAAAUUUGAAUUUCGCAACUAAAUGCUUGGUUUGCCAGGCGAUAUUAGAUAUGUACCUGUAUUUGGAUACAUGUGGCCACUACAUGUGUAUAAGUGGUUGAAUCAACUUGUUUUACCACUUAUUGCCAUAGUUAUGGUUUUCUGAACUACAAAACAAUGGGUACUCAUCCCUUUCUUUUGGGUGCUAGUAUCAGCGUAACACUACAAAGACUCUUUCUGAAAGAUUAUUUGUCUAAAGUGUAAUUCUAUGGAACUUGCUAACUACUUAUGUAAACAAAAGUCAGAAGUAAGUUCAUCAUUCAGAGACAAUUUCAAUAUGUUUACGUAGUUGUAUGUUUACAUAGUUAGCAAGUUCCAUAGAAUGACACUUUAUGUUUGAUAUGAGACAGUCCCUGGACACAAUAGGGCUUAUUACACUUAUCCUGCCUUCAGACGGCUAACGAUGAGCCGCGACGUCGGCCCCGAUAUCGGGCAAGGAUCGUUUUACGUUUCAUGUGGUUUCAUGAAAUAUUGUCACAUCGUUCACAAUAUUUCUUGGUGUAAAAAAUAGUUCAACUACAAAAAUAUCAACCAUGAUUGCCAAUUCGAGACAAAGUAUAUGUUACAUGUCAAAUAUUGUUGACGAUGCUCUUAUAUUUCGUGAAAUGCAAAACGAUCUUGCUCGGGCGCACCGUCGGCCACGAUCGUAUUAAGGCCCGACGGUGUGGAAGUGUAAUAAGCGCUUAUAAUGUACAUAACGUCAAGGAAUAGUUGAUCCACCCAUUUUUUUUUACUAGUUGUGACGUGGCUUCGCCAGUCUCCUUUGUGUCUUUUGAGAGUGUGUGGUACAUGUAUGGUAACGAAUAUUGUCAGCUAGAGGUCGGUUCUGUAACUUCCAACAACUUCUGUAAACAGGAUUGACGUCCGUACAAACAUAGCUAACGUAAUGUUACAUUUUAAGUAAAAAUUAAGGAUGACACACGCUAGACCGCGCGGGAUCCGAGCCGAGGCGUUCGACACGUAAUUUUCUAUGACGGCUGAUCGGUGUUCACGUGGUGCUUUCCAUAUAAAACGAAGCGCUGGAGCUCCGGCUCGGUCUCAGCCCUGUCUAAUAGCGUGAGUCAUCCUUUAUGGUGAUCUCCUUAAUAGAAAUAGAAGGGCUAAAUCUAUCCUCUCACAAGUGUAACAGGAUAAUUUCUGCUGUGAGAGACAGCUCUUAGUAGCAAGUUAGCAGAAAGUAUCCGGUAGCAGAAAAGGUAUAAUCCUUAGCCAGAAGAUUCCUCCGACGAUCUCACUCCUCACAUUUUUUUUAGACAGAAUAGCAUAAUCUAGUUAUUUAUUUGUGACUAUAUCCUAGAGCCUCAGCGCCCGUUUUUGUACCCGUUUACUAUCUGUGAAUUAUGUAGAAUAUUGUAAAAUAUAGGUAGUAGGCAAUAUAAACUGACUACCUGAUAAUUAUAUUUUUUUUUUUAUAAUCAGGCAGACCACUAAGCUUAUAAUGUUUAACGUAGGUAUUUUUAGACACUCGCGCGACUUGUAGGUACCUUUACAAACACCACCACCAGACCAGUACAAACGGCAAAUAUCAAUUUACGCUUUUCCUACUGACAUAUUGGUUUGCCAAACUACAAUUAUAAUGUACCAUAAUUGGAAUAUGCUUAGGUAUCGACUGCAAUGUAUUAUUAGUUACUGCAAUAAAGAAUUUGUAAGUAUUUCCAGUUCGAUUGUCAAAGCCUCCAUUAGUAGUACCUAGGUGAUCAUAGGUCCUAGAACCGGGUCAUCCGGGGGCUUACGAUAACUUGCUUACUCGUCAAGAUAUGACGAGUAAUUAUUGUAUUUUAAAUUGUUAAAAGAUUUUUAUAGUACUUAUUGUUGUGUUGCUAUAACUUUGUUAGUGGAUUUGUUUAAAAUUGCUGUUAAAUGUUAUAAAAUUUGGUAAAUAAAGUAAUUUAACCAUU